rnacentral:rRNA from 1 species
AGUGAACGCUGGCGGUAGGCCUAACACAUGCAAGUCGAACGGCAGCACAGUAAGAGCUUGCUCUUACGGGUGGCGAGUGGCGGACGGGUGAGGAAUACAUCGGAAUCUACUUUCUCGUGGGGGAUAACGUAGGGAAACUUACGCUAAUACCGCAUACGACCUACGGGUGAAAGCAGUGGAUCUUCGGACCUUGCGCGAUUGAAUGAGCCGAUGUCGGAUUAGCUAGUUGGCGGGGUAAAGGCCCACCAAGGCGACGAUCCGUAGCUGGUCUGAGAGGAUGAUCAGCCACACUGGAACUGAGACACGGUCCAGACUCCUACGGGAGGCAGCAGUGGGGAAUAUUGGACAAUGGGCGCAAGCCUGAUCCAGCCAUGCCGCGUGGGUGAAGAAGGCCUUCGGGUUGUAAAGCCCUUUUGUUGGGAAAGAAAAGCAGCAGGUUAAUACCCCGCUGUUCUGACGGUACCCAAAGAAUAAGCACCGGCUAACUUCGUG